UUUUGUUGGAAUAGGGUUUAUCAGAAAGACCAAGGAGCUUGAAUUGAAGAAGAUGCAAGAAGAAACCAAAGCUAUUGAAACUUCAAGGAAAGCUAUUCCAUCAAUGUGGUAGGAAAUGUGCAAGAAACAAUUAAUGAUAACCAAUUCAGAUUUCAUGGAAAAUAUAGAGGUAUUCUAAUUUAUCAACCUAUAUGUUUGUUAUUGCCUUGCAUGUGGAAUUAGAUGCAACUCACACUUUCAUAAUUUCAUAUUAUGCUGUAACUCACAUUUGAGAUACACAACUCAAUCAUUUCUGAUGUCUCUAAUGUAAUCCAUAAAAAAUGCACUAUUUCCCAUUUAUAGUUUUCUGAGUUUUUAUUUCUAGUU